CAGCUUGCUGCUUCGCUGACGAGUGGCGGACGGGUGAGUAAUGUCUGGGAAACUGCCUGAUGGAGGGGGAUAACUACUGGAAACGGUAGCUAAUACCGCAUAACGUCGCAAGACCAAAGAGGGGGACCUUCGGGCCUCUUGCCAUCGGAUGUGCCCAGAUGGGAUUAGCUUGUUGGUGGGGUAACGGCUCACCAAGGCGACGAUCCCUAGCUGGUCUGAGAGGAUGACCAGCCACACUGGAACUGAGACACGGUCCAGACUCCUACGGGAGGCAGCAGUGGGGAAUAUUGCACAAUGGGCGCAAGCCUGAUGCAGCCAUGCCGCGUGUAUGAAGAAGGCCUUCGGGUUGUAAAGUACUUUCAGCGGGGAGGAAGGGAGUAAAGUUAAUACCUUUGCUCAUUGACGUUACCCGCAGAAGAAGCACCGGCUAACUCCGUGCCAGCAGCCGCGGUAAUACGGAGGGUGCAAGCGUUAAUCGGAAUUACUGGGCGUAAAGCGCACGCAGGCGGUUUGUUAAGUCAGAUGUGAAAUCCCCGGGCUCAACCUGGGAACUGCAUCUGAUACUGGCAAGCUUGAGUCUCGUAGAGGGGGGUAGAAUUCCAGGUGUAGCGGUGAAAUGCGUAGAGAUCUGGAGGAAUACCGGUGGCGAAGGCGGCCCCCUGGACGAAGACUGACGCUCAGGUGCGAAAGCGUGGGGAGCAAACAGGAUUAGAUACCCUGGUAGUCCACGCCGUAAACGAUGUCGACUUGGAGGUUGUGCCCUUGAGGCGUGGCUUCCGGAGCUAACGCGUUAAGUCGACCGCCUGGGGAGUACGGCCGCAAGGUUAAAACUCAAAUGAAUUGACGGGGGCCCGCACAAGCGGUGGAGCAUGUGGUUUAAUUCGAUGCAACGCGAAGAACCUUACCUGGUCUUGACAUCCACGGAAGUUUUCAGAGAUGAGAAUGUGCCUUCGGGAACCGUGAGACAGGUGCUGCAUGGCUGUCGUCAGCUCGUGUUGUGAAAUGUUGGGUUAAGUCCCGCAACGAGCGCAACCCUUAUCCUUUGUUGCCAGCGGUCCGGCCGGGAACUCAAAGGAGACUGCCAGUGAUAAACUGGAGGAAGGUGGGGAUGACGUCAAGUCAUCAUGGCCCUUACGACCAGGGCUACACACGUGCUACAAUGGCGCAUACAAAGAGAAGCGACCUCGCGAGAGCAAGCGGACCUCAUAAAGUGCGUCGUAGUCCGGAUUGGAGUCUGCAACUCGACUCCAUGAAGUCGGAAUCGCUAGUAAUCGUGGAUCAGAAUGCCACGGUGAAUACGUUCCCGGGCCUUGUACACACCGCCCGUCACACCAUGGGAGUGGGUUGCAAAAGAAGUAGGUAGCUUAACCUUCGGGAGGGCGCUUACCACUUUGUGAUUCAUGACUGGGGUGAAGUCGUAACAAGGUAACCGUAGGGGAACCUGCGGUUGGAUCACCUCCUUACCUUAAAGAAGC
rnacentral:rRNA from 1 species